GAUGAACGCUGGCGGCGUGCCUAAUACAUGCAAGUCGAGCGAACAGACGAGGAGCUUGCUCCUUUGACGUUAGCGGCGGACGGGUGAGUAACACGUGGGUAACCUACCUAUAAGACUGGGAUAACUUCGGGAAACCGGAGCUAAUACCGGAUAAUAUUUCGAACCGCAUGGUUCGAUAGUGAAAGAUGGCUUUGCUAUCACUUAUAGAUGGACCUGCGCCGUAUUAGCUAGUUGGUAAGGUAACGGCUUACCAAGGCAACGAUACGUAGCCGACCUGAGAGGGUGAUCGGCCACACUGGAACUGAGACACGGUCCAGACUCCUACGGGAGGCAGCAGUAGGGAAUCUUCCGCAAUGGGCGAAAGCCUGACGGAGCAACGCCGCGUGAGUGAUGAAGGUCUUCGGAUCGUAAAACUCUGUUAUUAGGGAAGAACAAGCGUGUAAGUAACUGUGCACGUCUUGACGGUACCUAAUCAGAAAGCCACGGCUAACUACGUG
rnacentral:rRNA from 1 species